rnacentral:rRNA from 1 species
UACAGAGGUGGCAAGCGUUGUUCGGAAUUACUGGGCGUAAAGGGCGCGUAGGCGGCCUUCUAAGUCCGACGUGAAAUCCCCAGGCUUAACCUGGGAACUGCGUCGGAUACUGGAUGGCUUGAAUUCGGGAGAGGGAUGCAGAAUUCCAGGUGUAGCGGUGAAAUGCGUAGAUAUCUGGAGGAAUACCGGUGGCGAAGGCGGCAUCCUGGACCGACAUUGACGCUGAUGAGCGAAAGCUAGGGGAGCAAACGGG